CUCUACUCUUUCUCUUGUAACAAACAAUACUCCAAAUCUACUCUAUUUCUCACAUCUUUCUCUCUUCUAAUAUUCUCUCUCACAUAUUUCUCUCUUCACAAUCUCUCUUUGCAUCCAAACAUAGUGUAAAUGAUCAAGUCCUUUACUUUGAAGAGUUUACUCAACACAACAAUUAUAAUACAAAUGACUUGUUGCAAAUUCUAAACCUUCUACCACUGUUUCUCCUAAUAUUCUUGUCAUAUAUACGGAUCUAGCUAAGAAGCAUCAGGCAAUUUAUUCUUGCACGAUAAGGUGACUUAUUCCUAGAGAAAUGACCUUUUAGGAUGAUCAGAGAGCACCAGGUGCUAUACCUUCUCGAGCAAUUUUUUAUGGUUUGUAGCAAAAACAAGGUGAUUAGAAUUUAAGGCAGCCAGUAUCAUUUGCAGUCCUACCGUGUAUGUGGUAGGAGAGACAUAUCAUAUGCUUAAGGUUACUUCACCUAGGGUUACACCUUCCUACUCUUGUGGUGGUAAGAGGCAAGUGUUGGUAUCCCAGAUUUAGAUUUCUCACUUCUUCCUGACCGUACUUAUUCUAUCUCCCCUCGAAUGAAAUUUACUUUCCUAUAAAAAUACAAAAUAAAUACAGAAGCACUUUCACAUAAAAUACCUUCUUCCAUUUUGCAAUGAGAUUGCGAUCAGCAUAUCCUUGAUCUAAACAGAAUUCAUACAAUUCUUUAGAAAUUUCCUUUCUCUUAUGGUAGAGUUCAAAUACAUAGCGGCUCUUCUGGUGUGCAAUUUUAAAUAUAGGCCACAGAGUCUCACAUUUUCUUUUGCCAUCAUGUGGGUCAUUCUCAGCUGCCACAUAAAGGAUAUAACAAUAUUAUUUAUUACUUUCAAAGAUUUCAGAAUGAAAAAGAAUACAGUAAGGACUAAGCAUAACAUAUAGCAUACAAACCUUCCCUCAUCUUUCCUUGAAGUUCACGAAGUGUAGGCUCAAUUAAUUCCCAGCCUUCUGGGUAUUUAACUCGGCUUGUCUUUACUUUUGGCAUUUUUAUCUGUCAAAGGAAAAUAUGACAAAUAAGGUUCACUUUACAUACAUUCUAGCAAGUAACAUAAAUGGAACUUCAAAGGGACAAGCUAUGAAGUUGUGAUAGGUCUAUUCUACCAUUGUUAAAAAGCACAGUUAGUAGGUUAUUUAAGAAGAGUUCAGUCGGUUAGUUAGGUUAAGUUAGUUAAUGGAUAUAAUAAUAAGCCAUGUUGCCUACAACCUAAGAGAGUGAGCUAUCUUAUCAAUUGUAUAGACUUGGGGCUUUUUGGCACUGGGAAAAUCUAGAGUUUCUCUAAUACUCUAGGUGUUCUACUGUAAAUUCUGAAAUUUUCCCCAUUUUACCUAAUAAUACUAGUUGGUUUCUAUUAACUGGAAUCAGAGCUGGUUGUUGGUGGCUCAGAAAGGGCUGCCUUUAGAGGGGCUGACCAGAAAGACCGAGUACAGCGUUGUAGAGUGAAUCUGUCCGGAUGUUGGCUCUCAUGGACGGUGCUACCAUAGGGGAUUGGGUAUUAUGGGCACGCAAAUUCCGCAUCAGGUAGUAUGGGACACUAAAUGGAAUAUCUGCGUGACUUGGUUCACUCAUAUAUAUAUAUAUAUAUAUA
rnacentral:lncRNA from 1 species